rnacentral:rRNA from 1 species
ACGGCUCAGUAACACGUCGGUAACCUACCCUCGGGAGGGGGAUAACCCCGGGAAACUGGGGCUAAUUCCCCAUAGGCCUGAGGUACUGGAAGGUCCUCAGGCCGAAAGGGACUUAUGUCCGCCCGAGGAUGGGCCGGCGGCCGAUUAGGUAGUUGGUGGGGUAAUGGCCCACCAAGCCGAAGAUCGGUACGGGCUGUGAGAGCAGGAGCCCGGAGAUGGACACUGAGACACGGGUCCAGGCCCUACGGGGCGCAGCAGGCGCGAAACCUCCGCAAUGCGGGAAACCGCGACGGGGGGACCCCGAGUGCCGUGGCAACGCCACGGCUUUUCCGGAGUGUAAAAAGCUCCGGGAAUAAGGGCUGGGCAAGGCCGGUGGCAGCCGCCGCGGUAAUACCGGCGGCCCGAGUGGUGGCCGCUAUUAUUGGGCCUAAAGCGUCCGUAGCCGGGCCCGUAAGUCCCUGGCGAAAUCCCACGGCUCAACCGUGGGGCUUGCUGGGGAUACUGCGGGUCUUGGGACCGGGAGAGGCGGGGGGUACCCCUGGGGUAGGGGUGAAAUCCUAUAAUCCCAGGGGGACCGCCAGUGGCGAAGGCGCCCCGCUGGAACGGGUCCGACGGUGAGGGACGAAGGCCAGGGGAGCAAACCGGAUUAGAUACCCGGGUAGUCCUGGCUGUAAAGGAUGCGGGCUAGGUGUCGGGUGAGCCUCGAGCUCGCCCGGUGCCGUAGGGAAGCCGUUAAGCCCGCCGCCUGGGGAGUACGGCCGCAAGGCUGAACUUAAAGGAAUUGGCGGGGGAG